UCUUUUGACCUCAAACUCAAUUGUCUUCAGUGUAUAGCAAAAACUACUAAAAAUUACCAUUUACCACAUUACACACACAGCCACUUUCUAUGGUGAGGAUGAAGGCAUGUUCUGAGUAGCCUCUAUCAGACUGAAGCCAUGGAGUAUUUUAUUUUAUUUUUAUUUCCCCCCCCCCUUUGGAUGCACAGGACCGACUCCAGUGACUGGAAACUACACCAUUGCCACUGUAUCUGCCUGUAUUUUAGUAGCUGCUCUCAUUGUUGCUGGCGUUGGUGGCCUCAUUUACAAAAAAAGGCUUUGCAACUGUCGAAGAGGGCAGGACAGGGGCCGUCGCCAAGGGAACAACCGGGUGCCUCCUCAUGAUGCUGAGGAUCGUGAUGAGAUCACCAUCGAGAUACAGCCUCUUAAGGGAGAAGUUGCAAACGGAAAUGUUAACGGGGUCCAUCGAGAGGAUGACAGCGUUGGGACUGCAGGGUUACUUGGCCAUUGGGACGAUUAUGCUGGUGGCGGGAAAUGACACUGCAUCUUUCAGUACUGGACCUGAGUUCUGACAUGGUCUGUGGUUCUGACUAACACUGUUCACCAUACCAUUCUCUUACCCACCCAUUUUUCCAGUCUGUUUACCACAGGCACGGCUCUUAAUUUGUUUAUGAUGUGCCUAACAAACCGUUCAAUCUGGAUUAAGAUUUGAAUGUAAAAAAAAUUCCUACACUUGAAUCAGAACAAAACAUAUUUAUUUAAAUUUAAAUUUUAUUGAUAUUUAUUUUAUUUCCUCAUUUACACUGUUUCUUUUAAUGCUUUUAAAUUCAUUUAUUUAUUGUGAAGCACAUUGUGAUGGGCUAUGAAACUAACCCUUUUGUUACUUUGAUUCAUUAUGAAUUAUCAUAGAAGUGUGCAGAGUGCGGAGUCUUCCUGUGUCUAAACAGCACAAAGCAGUGCUUUUUCACAUAUCAUCUCAAAUGAAAUCUGAAAAUGAGGUGAAUAAGAGAUUCCAAUUCUGAUCAGUUGAAAAAAUAUGUUCAGGACUGAACAUGAACUCUGCAUGAUACCUGCAAUGGGUGUUUUUUAAAGUUUAAAGUUUUGUUCAUGAGUUUAUACUUAUACUAAAAUGGCGAUGUAUGAAACGGUGCCUGAUUGUAAAGCAGAAAUGCCACACAGUAUCUAUGCAUGUAUACAGAUGUUGUAUACAGAUGUUUGUUCCAAAUUGUAGUUGAUAUGUUCGAUAUGAAAUAUGUAAUCAAAAUGAAAUCAAUGGAAUUAAUGGAAUUAAUGUUUUUUUUUUUUUUUUACAUAUUUAAACUGUUUUGUUCAUAGAAACAAAAUAGUUUAAACUUAUAAAAUAACAAUCAAACAGUGUCUGAUUUUAAAGCAGAAAUGCCAUAUUAUAUAUAUACAUAUUUGUGGACCUAGCCAUUGUAAUUGAUGGGAUAUUUACAGGCCAAAAACAUGUUGAUGGAGUGUAAAUAAAGCAAUUAAUUGUUUUAAGGUUUUAAAGAGAGAUUAAAAUGAUUGUGUUUCAGGAAAAAUGUUCAGAAAUAUAGCAAUUUGUGAAUAGCAUCUUUUACCAUAAGCUGACAUCGCAACUGUAUGGUAGAGGUCUGUAAUUUCUAAA